rnacentral:rRNA from 1 species
CCCUUAGAUGUUCUGGGCCGCACACGCGCUACACUGAAGGAGGCAGCGUGUACUCCUGGAUCGAAAGAUUUGGGUAACCCGCGAAUCUCCUUCGUGCUAGGGAUUGAGGUUUGCAAUUAUCCUUCACGAACGAGGAAUUCCUUGUAAUCGCACAUCAUCAGUGUGCGCUGAAUACGUCCCUGCCCUUUGUACACACCGCCCGUCGCUCCUACCGAUCGAGUGAUCCGGUGAAUGUUUUGGAUCGGUUGCAAGUUGCGCGACGCGCUUCUUGCAUGCUGUGAAAUCAUGUAAGCCUUAUUGCUUAGAGGAAGGAGAAGUCGUAACA